GGUAAAAUGGCUGAGAGAUAGGCAAUAAAUUGUAAAUUUAUUCACGAACAAUAGUUCUUUUACCA
rnacentral:tRNA from 1 species